AUAACGGUCCUAAGGUAGCGAAAUUCCUUGUCAGGUAAGUUCUGACCCGCACGAAAGGAGUAACGAUUUGGGCGCUGUCUCGGCAGCAGACUCGGUGAAAUCUUAGUCCCGGUGAAGAUGCCGGGUACCCGCAACUAGACGGAAAGACCCCAUGGAGCUUUACUGUAGCCUGAUAUUGAAUUUUGAUCAAACAUGUACAGGAUAGGUGGGAGACAGAGAGACCUGCACGCCAGUGUAGGAGGAGUCGACGUUGGGAUACCACCCUUGUUUGAUUGAAGUUCUAACCUGCUUCCGUGACCCGGAAGAGGGAGAGUGUCAGGUGGGCAGUUUGACUGGGGCGGUCGCCUCCUAAAGAGUAACGGAGGCGCCCAAAGGUACCCUCAGAUUGGUUGGAAAUCAAUCGACGAGUGCAAAUGCAGAAGGGUGCUUGACUGCGAGACCCACAAGUCGAGCAGGGACGAAAGUCGGGAUUAGUGAUCCGGCGGUGCCGAAUGGAAGGGCCGUCGCUCAACGGAUAAAAGCUACCCUGGGGAUAACAGGCUGAUCUCGCCCAAGAGUUCACAUCGACGGCGAGGUUUGGCACCUCGAUGUCGGCUCAUCGCAUCCUGGAGCUGAAUUCGGUUCCAAGGGUUGGGCUGUCCGCCCAUUAAAGCGGUACGCGAGCUGGGUUCAGAACGUCGUGAGACAGUUCGGUCCCUAUCUGUUGUGGGCGUAGGAAAUUUGAGGAGAUCUGUCCUUAGUACGAGAGGACCGGGAUGGACCUACCGCUGGUGCACCAGUUGUAUCGCCAGAUGCAUAGCUGGGUAGCUAAGUAGGGAACGGAUAAGCGCUGAAGGCAUCUAAGCACGAAACCGACUCCAAGAUGAGAUUUCCCAUACGCAAGUAGUAAGACCCCUUGAAGACGACAAGGUAGAUAGGUCAGAGAUGGAAGUGUAGAAAUACAUGGAGUUGACUGAUACUAAUGGUACGAGGACUUAAUCAC
rnacentral:rRNA from 1 species